AGUUGCAGCUUGGCGCACGCCGUUUGUGCUGCCAAGCUCGCCGAGAGGAGGCCCUUCCACUGCAAGCUGACCUGAGCAGGGGGGCGCUCUACAGGUGGGUCUGUGAAAGGAGACGAAAACUUGAUGGACUAGUAUGCAAAUGUACUCUUAAACCUCUUCCCCCCAACGUGAUGUCCGCCGCCGAGGGAGAAACGCCGGUGGCCGAUGGGGCUCCGCCGCCAGGGGCGCUCUACUCCUUCGGGACGCCUUGGCCGGAGCUCAACCAAGGCCUCUCCUACAGCGACACGUUCCGAUGCGCUGAUGCGGCCGCCGCCACCACCUUGAUUGAGUUCUACGCCACUAACUACAAGAGCUCCGCUCCAUUGCCAGGGUGGGUCAAGAGGAUUCGUAACGGGCAGAUAACUGUUGACGGUGAAGUUGUCACCGAUCCAGAUAUGAUUUUGAGGGAUGGUUGUAAGUUGGUAUAUCAUCGUCUCCCUUGGCAGGAGCCGUUUGCGCCAUAUUUGCUGGAAGUGCUUUACGAGGAUGAUGACAUGGUUGCCCUUAAUAAGCCUUCUGGCUUGCAAGUUCUGCCUAAAGGACUCUUCCAGCAGCGCACUGUACUAGCACAGCUUCAAUUGAAAGACUGGAAGAUGACAUCAUGCUGCUCCAAGAGAAAACAUGUGCAGUCACAUCCAGUUCCUGUUCAUCGAUUAGGAAGGGGAACAUCAGGCCUUCUGCUCUGUGCCAAGACAAAGGUCUCCAAAGUUCGACUUGCAUCUUAUUUUGCUGAAGGAGCUAUAAAUGCUGGAAAUAAAAGGGAUAAAUCAGAAUUCGUCGAGGAGCGAAAAAUUUCAAAAUUUUAUCGAGCCUUAGUGACUGGCAUACUUGCUAAUGAUGAGGUUGUGGUUACCCAACCCAUAGGGUUAGUUCAUUAUCCUGGAGUUGCAGAGGGACUUUAUGCAGCAUGUUCCUCAGGAAAGCCAGCAAUGAGCAAAGUAUGUGUUCUUGAGAGACUUGCACACCAAAAUCAUACACUUGUCCAGGUUGAAAUUCAUUCAGGACGACCCCACCAAAUACGGAUACACCUUGCAUACAUUGGGCACCCUCUUGUAGAUGAUCCUCUGUAUGGUAUUGGUGGACACCCCAAAUUUGUUGAGCCACAAUCUGCUAGCAUGGAUAGUUCUUUUGCAUAUGAUGGAGGUUACGAGAGACCUUUACAACCUGUUCCUGGAGACUGUGGCUAUCACCUACAUGCACAUUGGCUGGUUCUUUGCCAUCCAACCACAAAUAAGAUGGUAAAAAUCGCAGCUCCUCUACCACAAAUUCUACAGACUCGAGAGGAACGCCGUGCUACCACCGAGCAAAUCAGUGGUUGAACAUGUGAGCUUCAUUUCUGAGAAUGCUUGCAUGCAUCUUAUUUGAACUGAGCAACCAGCAGGUUCUCACAGGCGCUACAUAUCCAGCGAACACCUUUUAUUGUGGGAAUUCAAUAUUGUACACUAUUGAUGUGUACGUUUACUGCCUUGAUUGAGCGUGGGACGACCUUCGCGUAAUGCGUUGAGUGUAUACCGGGACCCUGCCGAACAGGGGCGAAGCCAGGCCAAAAAGUUCACCGGGGUCAUGUCUAUCAAACAACGGGGCAUCAAGCACUGUUAACCAGUUGUUUGUGAUAGGUCAAAACCGCCCAAGACCCUGUUUGUGAUAACUUUUCUUAGUGGUUUUCUAAGAAGCUAAAUCUGCUCCUGGUAUAUUACUGGGGAAUUGUUUGUGUUGAGUGUAUACCGGGAUGUAUGCCCCUGAGGCCCUGAAGAAGAAAAUAGCUUGUACACUUGCUUGAUAAUCACUCAAGGUAACAUUUUGACUUAUUUUUGACACUACAGGAUGGAUAUUUCA